rnacentral:rRNA from 1 species
AGUGAACGCUGGCGGUAGGCCUAACACAUGCAAGUCGAACGGCAGCACAGUAAUAGCUUGCUCUUACGGGUGGCGAGUGGCGUACGGGUGAGGAAUACAUCGGAAUCUACUUUUUCGUGGGGGAUAACGUAGGGAAACUUACUCUAAUACCGCAUACGACCUACGGGUGAAAGCAUGGGAUCUUCUGACCUUGCGCGAUUGAAUGAGCCGAUGUCGGAUUAGCUAGUUGGCGGGGUAAUGGCCCACUAAGGCGACGAUCCGUAGCUGGUCUGAGAGGAUGGUAGGCGACAUGGGAGGUGGAACACGGUCCAGGCUCCUAAGGGAGGGAGCAGUGGGGAAUAUUGGACAGUGGGCGCGAGUAUGAUACAGCCAUACCGCGUGGGUGAAGAAGGCGUUCGGGGUGUAAAGACCUUUUGUUGGGAGAGAAAAGCAGCAGGUUAAUACGAAGCUGUUCUGACGGUAACCAAAGAAUAAGCACCGGCUAACUUCGUG